CCCUUAGAUGUUCUGGGCUGCACGCGCGCUACACUGAAGCGUUCAACGAGUAUUCACCUUGCCCGGGAGGGUUGGGUAAUCUUUUGAAAACGCUUCGUGAUGGGGAUAGAUUAUUGCAAUUAUUAAUCUUCAACGAGGAAUUCCUAGUAAACGCAAGUCAUCAGCUUGCAUUGAUUACGUCCCUGCCCUUUGUACACACCGCCCGUCGCACCUACCGAUUGAAUGGUCCGGUGAAAUCUCGGGACGGCGGCUUGGUCGCUUGCGUCCGACUGCUGAAACUUGAUUAAACCAUAUCAUUUAGAGGAAGGUGAAGUCGUAACA
rnacentral:rRNA from 1 species